rnacentral:rRNA from 1 species
UACGUGAGGAUGCAAAGCGUUGUCCGGAAUUUACUGGGCGUAAAGCGCGCGCAGGCGGCAAGGUAAGUAAAGGUGUGAAAUCCUGUCGGCUCAACCGGGAGGGUGCACUUAGACUGCUUUGCUUGAGGUCGGUAGGAGGGGGUGGAAUUGCGUGGUAGGUAAGCGGUGAAAUGCGUAGAGAUCAGCGGAACACCCGUGGCGAAGGCGGCCCCUGGGCCGUACCUGACGCUGAGGCGCGAAGGCUAGGGGAGCGAACGGG